AGACCGUGAUGUGGACACUUUUAGAGAAGAUCUUUGUAUCUUUCCCAUGCUUCAUAUAGCGACUCACUAUCAAAUUGAGUGAAGGUGGUGAUGUCAUUCCUUAACUU
rnacentral:snoRNA from 1 species